CCAGACGGCCGGAUGGCCGCCUUCGGCGCUCUUGGGCGCCGGGGGAGGAAAGUCCGGGCUCCACGGAAACAGGGUGCCGGAUAACGCCCGGCGGGGGCGACCCCAGGGAAAGUGCCACAGAAAGCAAACCGCCCUGCGUAGCGCCGAGAGGCGCGCAGCAGGGUAAGGGUGAAAGGGUGCGGUAAGAGCGCACCGCGCCCCCGGCAACGGGGGCGGCACGGCAAACCCCACCCGGAGCAAGAUCAAGUAGGGACGGCCGGCCGGUUCUUCGGAAUGCGGCCACGCGGGUUUCCGCGCCGCCGUCCGGGUCGAUCGCGCGAGGCGCCCGGCAACGGGCGUCCCAGAUGAAUGGCCAUCCAUGCGGGUCCGCCCGCGGGACAGAACCCGGCUUACAGGCCGUCUGGCGUU
rnacentral:RNase_P_RNA from 1 species